CGAGGUCUCUCCGGCGCCUUCCCGUGCGCGCGUCCCACCGCCAGGCGGCUCUGCUCCGGCGCCUCGCCGAGGCUCCGCUCUUCCCUCUUCCCGUAUCCGCCGGGCGCAUCGGCGGCGGUGGGCAGAGCUUCCUGGAGCAGCCGCAGCGAGAUCUGCCCAAGAGCGCCCUUCCAAAUGGCAAUAACAGGGAAACAUUCUGGAAAUAUUGAAGAAUAGCUACUGAAGCACAGUGGAUUGUGUGGAUAAAGGAGGAGCCAUUGACGGGCUGUGUCUGGAUGCAGCGUGACAUUUGCUGUUGGGGAGAAGAUGAGGGAAAGAGAAGAGAGGCAGAAUCAGCCAAGAGGCAGAGACGGACAUCUUGAUCCAAGAAACACUCGGAAUAACCAAAUUUCCUCUCUGAUAAAUGGGGAUUCCUCACGUUUCAUUCAGGAUUGGGAUCCUCCCCCCCUUUCUGCCAGGCUCACCUCUGAAUAAAUUCCUUCCCCAGCAGGUUUGUAUCCCUCCUGUCAAUCAAGUCACCCUACAAGAAGCAAAACAGCCCAGAAAAUAUUCACUCAGCUCUUCUAUGCAGUGAAGGGGAGGAGGGAUGGAUGGGGGCAAGAGGAGAAAAAUGGUCCUCCUUUGAAUCUCUCCAUGUGAAUUGCCCAUUUGGGGCUUUCAGAGGCUUACAUUGAAAUGAGAGAGAAGAAAUCAAUGUAGGCAACCUAACAAAUGUCUGUCCCUUGAAAACCUCCAGGAUAACCAGAAGGAAACUGCUGCUCCUAUUGCUGUUUGUGGGAAAAGUAAAUAAAACACAGUAAGAGCCUGGAAUGUUCAGACUAAUACAUUGUCGGGUGUAAAAUCCUUGCAGUAAUCCUACC